rfam:Fibrobacter sp. TWCM genome assembly, contig: Ga0136281_102
UGCGGGUAGCGGAUGGCCGCCGGCAGCAAUGCUGGAGGAAAGUCCGGGCACCACAGGGCAGGAUGCUGGAUAACGUCCAGGCGCGGAAACGCGACAGACAGUGCAACAGAAAGCAAACCGCCAGGUUCGGGCGCAAGCCCGGGCAAGGUAAGGGUGAAACGGCGAGGUAAGAGCUCACCGCAUUCCUGGUGACAGGGAUGGCACGGUAAACCUCAUCCGGUGCAAGACCAAGCAGGAAUCCGUCCGCAAGGACCGGCUGCGGCUCGCGGCUGUUGGAUAUCCGGGUAGGUCGCUUGAGGCGGUCGGUAACGACUGGCCCAGAGAGAUGGUCAUCGCCCCGCAAGGGGUACAGAACCCGGCUUAUAACUACUCAAUAU